rnacentral:lncRNA from 1 species
UCUCAGUCAUGGCUGGGGUGGCUCAUACAUGAUCGCUCAGCACUGAGAACCCCUGGUCGUCAUAGCGGGUCACCCAAACCUGUCCUCUGGCUCUGAGCCCUGCGCUGGCCUGGCUGCUUCCGGGUCCCCAGGUCGGGCAGGAAACCCUGGUGGUGCAGAGGCUCGGGGUGACUGCAGGAGGAGACGCCCGCAGGCGGGCAGAGCAGGAUGUGGAGCAGGCCAGGGCCUGCACCCCAGCGCCAGGUGAGGAAUUGCUCUCAGCUGGAGGUGGGGCCCGGGGAAGGCGCAGCAGCGGGAAAGAGCACACAGGUGACAUCCAGGGACACCCUCGCACUUGCCCUUGACCUCCGACUUCACCACUGCUCAGCGGGUCAAAGCAACCUGUCCCCAGCCCUCGGCCUCGGCCCCACCUGCUGUGCCCUCACCUGAGGUCCUGCGCUGGAGCCUCCAGGCGAGAGCAGUGUCCCUCCUGCCUCCCUCACUGUCCCCUUUGGAUCCGACAGCUGUGCCUCUCUGCCUUGGCUCGGUCUCCAGCCGAGGGGGCAUGGACGCAGGUAGGGAGCGGGCCCUCCCGGGUGUGAAGGUGGCCGCACCUUCGGGGACGUCAGCGACCUCAGAGACCUCAGAGAGGAUGAGAAGCAAAACCCACGCGGCGAGGCUCAGAAGCUGGACGGCGUGUCCGGCGCUGGUCCUCGGCUCCUCUGCAUGGAAGAAGAGUGAACAGACUCAGAGGUGCUGGCGUGGGGACAGCUGUCCCCCAGCCCAUGGGGACAAGAGCUAGGCGAAUGGUGUGGGGGAGGUGGAGGCAGAGAGCUGAGGGCAGGGAACAGGAAGGACAGCAGGGCCUCGGCCGCGUUGGGGCCACCAGGAGAUGCUUCACUGGACGUGAGGGGUCGGCGGUGCACAGGCUCUGGAACCACAGACUCAGGGACUUGGGGCCCCCAGCGGGUCCCUGCAGCCCAUCCCGGGUGGGGGCUUUGCUCCCAGGGCAGGGGGUAAGCAGGCAUGGGCUUAUGCCUCCCUCCAGCAACCACGGAGAGACAGGAGGCAGCCAGAUGAGCACAGAGCCCUUCAGCACUGGGUGGUGCCCAGGUGCCCAGGCUUCAGCGAGGAUGAGCUUGUGCUGGUCAUAGGGACGUAACCCCUCUGUCCAGAAGGUGAAUCCACCCACACUCGGCGGCCACAGAGCGUCUGCAUGGCCGCCUGAGCAGCCACAGCUCAGAGAGUCCCAGGCCAUAUGCGCUCAUUCCACGCCAUCCCACAGUGACACACAGGGCGUGGGGGUCUCAGCCUUUGUGCCUGGACACAAUGGACAUGGUGAGGACUUUACAAAAACGUCACACCCGGCAAAAGAAAUCAUGCAUUUGACCAAGAGAAGUGAAAACUAAGGUUUGGUUCAUUCGCACAGAGUCCUAGAAGGUUAGCAACACAGGGGGAGGGCAGUCAGCCCGAGGAGAACCUCAUUUUAUAUACAAAGAAAUUCGUUUGAAAGGAGACCUUUAUGGCAGCCAGAGGACUGCCCUGGAGGAUGAGCAGGCAGCAGGCUUGUGACGCCAGGGGGGUGUGGGUGUGACGCCAAGGUCGGUGUGAUGUCAGGCCCCCCCCCAAACCCAGGUGUGACCACAGGGGGCCAGGCUUGCCCUCCAGGGCCUGCCCGCCCUGUGUCUCCCCGUGGCCUGCCAGCUGCAUGAGCAACCACAGACGAGGACUUGUGCACAGAGACACCCGAGAGGCCCCUCCGUGUGUCCACACAUCCCCAUCUGUCCCGAGCUCAGUACCGCCUGCAUCCUAGCCAUCUGCCACUCGCUGUGUCCUCCUGCUGCCAUUGAAUCCCAAGGGAACCACUGCUCUGCAAGACUCACAUCCUUGUGUUGACUUUAAACCCCCCUGUCCACUCACCCACCCUGCCCAUGUGCCCUCUCUCACACUCACACAUGCACACAUACACACACACACACACACACACACACAGGAGCACACAUACACACAUGCACUUGCCACUCACACACACACACAGGGUCCCGAGUUCCAGGCAAGAGGACGUUUGGAGCCCACCCUGUCCCCCGACACCCCCACGGCCCCCACCGCUCAUCACCACCACACCACGGCCAGUGUCCCUCGGUCCUCAGGAAACAGAGCUUGAAGGAAACACAAAGGCCUAUGUGGAAAAUUCCAAUAAAGCAAGAAACAAGAUUUUCCACUCCCCCCAUGGCGAGCCCUUUGAGCACUUCAGUCGCUGCUGAGGUCAGAAAAGCUGGUGGUGUGGGCUCGGCCAUCCGUAGAAAGCCUUCUGCCAUGCUAUCGCUGGGAGAGAAGCACGAACACAGAGGCCCCGCAGUCAAGCCCUGGGGGCCAGUGGGAUGGUGGGCGGCGCUCCGAGAGGCAGGAGCCUCAGCAGAUGGCCCAGCUCCCACCUGUGCAGUCUGAGCGGCAUGCUGUCCCUUGUUUCUCAGCAUCCCUGAGCCGGCCCACUCUGAACACACCCAUCCCUGUGGUCCCUUAGGGCUGGAAACCACGACCGCGAUGUUUAAGGUCCAGGAGCAAAGAGAACUUGAUUUUACAAAGAGCUUGUGUGUUGGUUCUGACAGGGAAGGACCACCAGCCAUGCCCUCCAGGUACCUUCCCACCAUCACAGACCCCUGUUCCCCCCGCCCCCUCCCUCUCGUCCAGGGUGUUGUGCAGUUGGAGCCCACAGCAUCGUCAUCAGUUUGCUUCUUGAAAAACCACAGUAAGCAAAGGAUUGACACGCAGCAG